rnacentral:rRNA from 1 species
UACAGAGGGUGCGAGCGUUGUUCGGAAUUACUGGGCGUAAAGCGCGUGUAGGCGGUUGUUCAAGUCAGGGGUGAAAGCCUUGAGCUCAACUCAAGAAAUGCACUUGAUACUGGAUGACUAGAGGACCGGAGAGGAUAGUGGAAUUCCCAGUGUAGUGGUGAAAUACGUAGAGAUUGGGAAGAACACCAGUGGCGAAGGCGGCUAUCUGGACGGUUUCUGACGCUAAGACGCGAAAGCGUGGGGAGCAAACAGG